rnacentral:rRNA from 1 species
UGAACGCUAGCGACAGGCCUAACACAUGCAAGUCGAGGGGCAGCACAAGGAUAGCAAUAUUCUGGUGGCGACCGGCGCACGGGUGAGUAACACGUAUGCAACCUACCUGUAAGUGGGGAAUAACCCGGAGAAAUCCGGACUAACACCGCAUAAUACUGUUGAACUGCAUGGUUCUACAGUUAAAUAUUAAUAGCUUACAGAUGGGCAUGCGUAUGAUUAGCUAGUUGGUGAGGUAACGGCCCACCAAGGCAUCGAUCAUUAGGGGUUCUGAGAGGAAGGUCCCCCACACUGGUACUGAGAUACGGACCAGACUCCUACGGGAGGCAGCAGUGAGGAAUAUUGGUCAAUGGGCGAGAGCCUGAACCAGCCAAGUCGCGUGAAGGAAGAAGGUUCUAUGGAUUGUAAACUUCUUUUGUAAGGGAAUAAAGUUCGCUACGUGUAGCGUUUUGUAUGUACUUUACGAAUAAGGAUCGGCUAACUCCGUGCCAGCAGCCGCGGUAAUACGGAGGAUCCAAGCGUUAUCCGGAUUUAUUGGGUUUAAAGGGUGCGUAGGCGGACCCGUAAGUCAGUGGUGAAAGUUUGCAGCUCAACUGUAAAAUUGCCAUUGAAACUAUGGGUCUUGAGUGUAAAUGAGGUAGGCGGAAUGUGUUGUGUAGCGGUGAAAUGCUUAGAUAUAACACAGAACACCAAUUGCGAAGGCAGCUUACUAGGAUACAACUGACGCUGAGGCACGAAAGCGUGGGGAUCAAACAGGAUUAGAUACCCUGGUAGUCCACGCAGUAAACGAUGAAUACUAACUGUAUGCGAUAUACUGUAUGUGGUAAAGCGAAAGCGUAAGUAUCCAC